CAACAGCUAGAGUUUGAUCCUGGCUCAGGAUUAACGCUGGCGGCGUGCCUAAUACAUGCAAGUCGAUCGGACACCAAGUGGCUUGCCAUAAGGUGUCAGAGGCGAACGGGUGAGUAAUACAUAAGCAACCUGCCCACGAAGACCGGGAUAAUCUCUGGAAACGGGGACUAAGACCGGAUAGGUACAGGAAGGGCAUCCUACCUGUAUUAAAGGUGAGAGACACUGGUGGAUGGGCUUAUGGCGCAUUAGUUAGACGGCGGGGUAACGGCCCACCGUGACGAUGAUGCGUAGCCGGCCUGAGAGGGUGAACGGCCACAUUGGGACUGAGACACGGCCCAGACUCCUACGGGAGGCAGCAGUAGGGAAUUUUCGGCAAUGGGGGAAACCCUGACCGAGCAACGCCGCGUGAGUGAAGAAGGUCUUCGGAUCGUAAAGCUCUGUUGUACGGGAAGAAUGGGUGGUAGAGUAUACCACAGUGACGGUACCGUACCAGAAAGCCACGGCUAACUACGUGCC
rnacentral:rRNA from 1 species